UACCGAGUGGCGGACGGGUGAGUAACGCGUGGGUAACCUGCCUCAUACAGGGGGAUAACGGUUAGAAAUGACUGCUAAUACCGCAUAAGCGCACAGUACCGCAUGGUACGGUGUGAAAAACUCCGGUGGUAUGAGAUGGACCCGCGUCUGAUUAGGUAGUUGGUGGGGUAACGGCCUACCAAGCCGACGAUCAGUAGCCGACCUGAGAGGGUGACCGGCCACAUUGGGACUGAGACACGGCCCAA
rnacentral:rRNA from 1 species